rnacentral:rRNA from 1 species
UUAACACAUGCAAGUCGAACGAUGAAGCCUGGCUUGCUGGGUGGAUUAGUGGCGAACGGGUGAGUAACACGUGAGUAACCUGCCCUUGACUCUGGGAUAAGCGCUGGAAACGGUGUCUAAUACUGGAUAUUACCUUGCCUGGCAUCGGGUGGGGUGGAAAGUUUUUCGGUUGGGGAUGGACUCGCGGCCUAUCAGCUUGUUGGUGAGGUAAUGGCUUACCAAGGCGACGACGGGUAGCCGGCCUGAGAGGGUGACCGGCCACACUGGGACUGAGACACGGCCCAGACUCCUACGGGAGGCAGCAGUGGGGAAUAUUGCACAAUGGGCGCAAGCCUGAUGCAGCAACGCCGCGUGGGGGAUGACGGCCUUCGGGUUGUAAACCUCUUUUAGUAGGGAAGAAGGGCUUCGGCUUGACGGUACCUGCAGAAAAAGCACCGGCUAACUACGUGCCAGCAGCCGCGGUAAUACGUAGGGUGCAAGCGUUGUCCGGAAUUAUUGGGCGUAAAGAGCUCGUAGGCGGUUUGUCGCGUCUGCUGUGAAAUCCUGAGGCUUAACUUCGGGCUUGCAGUGGGUACGGGCAGACUAGAGUGCGGUAGGGGAGAAUGGAAUUCCUGGUGUAGCGGUGGAAUGCGCAGAUAUCAGGAGGAACACCGAUGGCGAAGGCAGUUCUCUGGGCCGUAACUGACGCUGAGGAGCGAAAGCGUGGGGAGCGAACAGGAUUAGAUACCCUGGUAGUCCACGCCGUAAACGUUGGGCGCUAGAUGUGGGGACCUUUCCACGGUUUCCGUGUCGCAGCUAACGCAUUAAGCGCCCCGCCUGGGGAGUACGGCCGCA